AAAUAUGAUCCUACAAUAGAAGA
rnacentral:piRNA from 1 species